rnacentral:rRNA from 1 species
UCCAGAAGUCGGUGCACCAACCCGCAAGGGAGGUAGCCGCCCAAGGAGUGACUGGUGACUGGGGUGAAGUCGUAACAAGGUAGCCGUAGGUGAACCUGCAGAAGGAUCA